CAUUCACUGAGACGACACCUCCCUAUUUAUUUGUAUUUUGAUUCUUCAUUUCGUUUUUUUACUUAACAAGAGUAUUUGUUUCGGUUUCUUCUGAACGUUUAGACAAAGACAGAGAAAACGGCAUUCUGUUUUUUGGUCAAGCUUUGAUCAGGUUUCCGAUCCCUUAAAAUGUUCGGAUUUCACCCUUUCACUCGUCGAAUCUGUUCCGAAGUGAUUUCAGUUCUCUUCAUCUUCCCAAAGAUCAAGAAGAACGAAAUUCAGAGUUAGACCGGGGAAGAAAAAGAUAGAGGACUAAGUUGCUAAAUUUGGUCAAAUUUUGUACCGAG